rnacentral:rRNA from 1 species
GACGUAGGGCGCGAGCGUUGUCCGGAUUUAUUGGGCGUAAAGAGCUCGUAGGCGGCUUGUCGCGUCGUCCGUGAAAACCUGCAGCUCAACUGCAGGCUUGCGGUCGAUACGGGCAGGCUAGAGUUCGGUAGGGGGAGACUGGAAUUCCUGGUGUAGCGGUGAAAUGCGCAGAUAUCAGGAGGAACACCAAUAGCGAAGGCAGCUCGCUGGGACGUUACUGACACUAAGGCGCGAAAGCGUGGGGAGCGAACAGG